UACGGAGGAUCCGAGCGUUAUCCGGAUUUAUUGGGUUUAAAGGGUGCGUAGGUGGCCUGUUAAGUCAGGGGUGAGAGACGGUAGCUCAACUAUCGCAGUGCCCUUGAUACUGAUGGGCUUGAAUGAACUAGAGGUAGGCGGAAUGUGACAAGUAGCGGUGAAAUGCAUAGAUAUGUCACAGGACACCAAUUGCGAAGGCAGCUUACUAUGGUUUUAUUGACACUGAGGCACGAAAGCGUGGGGAUCAAACAGG
rnacentral:rRNA from 1 species